AUACGGGGGGUCCAAGCGUUAUCCGGAUUCAUUGGGUUUAAAGGGUCCGCAGGCGGGAAAAUAAGUCAGUGGUGAAAGCCUACAGCUCAACUGUAGAACUGCCAUUGAAACUGUUUUUCUUGAGUAUAGAUGAAGUGGGCGGAAUAUAUCAUGUAGCGGUGAAAUGCAUAGAUAUGAUAUAGAACACCGAUUGCGAAGGCAGCUCACUAAACUAUUACUGACGCUCAGGGACGAAAGCGUGGGGAGCGAACAGGAUUAGAAACCCCAGUAGUCC
rnacentral:rRNA from 1 species